UGUUGUUUUUUAGCAACCGCCAAUGUUCUCGUAGUCUGAGAGGAACGCUUUCGGGUGACUGCUCUUAAUGUCAGAAAGGUCUGAGACUGACGCUUUCGAGUGACCUGCUUAAAUGCCACAGUAACCUGAAAAGUGGCGCCUUUGGGUGGUACACC
rnacentral:sRNA from 1 species